rnacentral:rRNA from 1 species
GAAGCGGCAACAGCUCAAAUUUGAAAUCUGGCCUCUUGGGGUCCGAGUUGUAAUUUGGAGAGGAUGUUUCGGGUACGGUCCGGGCUUAAAUUUCUUGGAACAGAAUGUCACAGAGGGUGAGAAUCCCGUCUGGAGUCUGCGACACGGCCUAUGUGAAACUCCUUCGACGAGUCGAGUUGUUUGGGAAUGCAGCUCUAAAUGGGUGGUAAAUUUCAUCUAAAGCUAAAUAUUGGCCAGAGACCGAUAGCGCACAAGUAGAGUGAUCGAAAGAUGAAAAGCACUUUGAAAAGAGAGUUAAACAGUACGUGAAAUUGUUGAAAGGGAAGCGCUGGCAACCAGACUUGCGCGUCGGGGUUCCCCCUUGCUUCUGCCUGGGCUACUCCCCGGCGUUCAGGCCAACAUCGGUUUUGGGGGUCGGUUAAAGGCCCCGGGAAAUGUACCUACUCUUCGGGGUAGACUUAUAGCCCGGGGUGUCAUGCGGCCACCCGGGACCGAGGAACGCGCUUCGGCUCGGAUGUUGGCGUAAUGGUUGUCAGCGACCCGUCUUGAAACACGGACCAAGGAGUCUAACAUCUAUGCGAGUGUUAGGGUGUCAAACCCUUACGCGGAAUGAAAGUGAACGGAGGUAGGAAGCCGUAACACGCUGCACUAUCGACCGAUCCUGAAGUUUACGGAUGGAUUUGAGUAAGAGCAUAGCUGUUGGGACCCGAAAGAUGGUGAAC